UACGUAGGUGGCAAGCGUUGUCCGGAAUUAUUGGGCGUAAAGCGCGCGCAGGCGGUCCUUUAAGUCUGAUGUGAAAUCCCCGGGCUCAACCUGGGAAUUGCGAUGGAGACUGCACGGCUAGAGUGUGUCAGAGGGGGGUAGAAUUCCACGUGUAGCAGUGAAAUGCGUAGAUAUGUGGAGGAACACCGAUGGCGAAGGCAGCCCCCUGGGAUAACACUGACGCUCAUGCACGAAAGCGUGGGGAGCAAACAGG
rnacentral:rRNA from 1 species